UACGAAGGGGGCUAGCGUUGCUCGGAAUUACUGGGCGUAAAGCGCACGUAGGCGGAUUGUUAAGUCGGGGGUGAGAUCCUGGAGCUCAACUCCAGAACUGCCUUCGAUACUGGCGAUCUCGAGUUCGGGAGAGGUGAGUGGAACUGCGAGUGUAGAGGUGAAAUUCGUAGAUAUUCGCAAGAACACCAGUGGCGAAGGCGGCUCACUGGCCCGAUACUGACGCUGAGGUGCGAAAGCGUGGGGAGCAAACAGG
rnacentral:rRNA from 1 species